rnacentral:rRNA from 1 species
UACGAAGGGGGCUAGCGUUGCUCGGAAUGACUGGGCGUAAAGGGCGCGUAGGCGGCUUGUAUAGUCGGAUGUGAAAUUCCUGGGCUUAACCUGGGGGCUGCAUACGAGACUUAUGGGCUUGAGUGCGGAAGAGGGUCGUGGAAUUCCCAGUGUAGAGGUGAAAUUCGUAGAUAUUAGGGAAGAACACCGGUGGCGAAGGCGGCCA